rnacentral:lncRNA from 1 species
UUAGAAAUGCAUAUCACUUAAUUAAAUGGAAAAGGGGGAAUAACUCUCAUAUGGCGUCUCCGUAAAGCUUCGGUCCAAAUGAAUAUUCUAAUCCUGAAGAUGUAACGAGCAAUUUGGUAAUCUAAAUUUGUCGUUAUCUUUAACGGUUGCGAAGGAGUAGUGGCCACAAGAAAAACAGUGUUUGGGGAGAUAACUCUUACAACGUAAAGUAUUUUGUUAUGCAGUUAUAAAUUUUAAAGCGUAUAAACUAUACGAUACCAUAUUCCAAUAAUCUAAGCGACAUCUUUUGAAACAUCAAUACUACGCAAGAAAAAAAAUUAGGCGGAAGAAAAAAAUAAAUGAUAAUAAUAAUAAUAAUUAAAAACCAAUUGUUCAGAGAACAAUUGUAGGUCUUUCCACUAGUAAAGAUCUAUUUUGUUAUUGGAAUAUGAAAAAUCAGUUUAAAAUGUUAGUUCCUAUGGUUUUAUGAUGUAUUUAUAUGAAUUUAAAGCAAAGGUCAAAAUCUAGAACGUCAUAUUAACCUAUGACCUUGACCUCAAUUUCAAGUUCACAAACCAAGGACCUUAAAUCAAAAGCCCCUAGGUCUUAAAUAUGUUUGGUUUAUUAGUAAUAUCACUUUACGCGUUAUUCUAAAUGUAAGAUGGGCAAAAACUCCCAUUUAUUGUCUGCGCACCCUUUCAACCAAAAUAUACAAGUAAGGACAUGUCGCAAAACUAACAAUUUUGAAAAAUUAUUUGUCGAUAUGUCAUAAGGUAUUUGAAAAUAAAUGAAAAUAAGCCAAAAUCAAAAUUUAGAAUAUGACCUUGACCUUUGACCUUGACCUCAUUUUUAUUUUUUUGGACCAAGGACCUCAAAUCUAAAGACCCUAGGCCUAUAUCACUGAUGGUUUACCAGUAAGAAACGCAUAUCACUUAUAUCAAAUGCAUAAGGGGAAAUAACUCUCAUAUGGAGUCUCCGGAUAGCUUCGGUCCAAAUAAAUAUUCUAAUCCUGAAGACGUAACGAGCAAUUUGGUAAAAUAAAUUUGUCAUAAUCUUUUACGGUUGCCAAGAAGUAGUGGCCACAAGAAUAACAGUGUUUGGGGAGAUAACUCUUACAACGUAAAGUAUUUUGUUACGCAGUUGUGAAUUUUUAAAGCGUAUAAACUAUACGACGUCAUAUUCCAAAUAUCUAAGCGACAUCUUUUGAAACAUCAAUACUACGCAGGAACAAAAUUUAGGCGGAAG